rnacentral:rRNA from 1 species
GUAGGGCGGGACACGUGGUAUCCUGUCUGAAUAUGGGGGGACCAUCCUCCAAGGCUAAAUACUCCUGACUGACCGAUAGUGAACCAGUACCGUGAGGGAAAGGCGAAAAGAACCCCGGCGAGGGGAGUGAAAAAGAACCUGAAACCGUGUACGUACAAGCAGUGGGAGCACGCUUAGGCGUGUGACUGCGUACCUUUUGUAUAAUGGGUCAGCGACUUAUAUUCUGUAGCAAGGUUAACCGAAUAGGGGAGCCGAAGGGAAACCGAGUCUUAACUGGGCGUUAAGUUGCAGGGUAUAGACCCGAAACCCGGUGAUCUAGCCAUGGGCAGGUUGAAGGUUGGGUAACACUAACUGGAGGACCGAACCGACUAAUGUUGAAAAAUUAGCGGAUGACUUGUGGCUGGGGGUGAAAGGCCAAUCAAACCGGGAGAUAGCUGGUUCUCCCCGAAAGCUAUUUAGGUAGCGCCUCGUGAAUUCAUCUCCGGGGGUAGAGCACUGUUUCGGCAAGGGGGUCAUCCCGACUUACCAACCCGAUGCAAACUGCGAAUACCGGAGAAUGUUAUCACGGGAGACACACGGCGGGUGCUAACGUCCGUCGUGAAGAGGGAAACAACCCAGACCGCCAGCUAAGGUCCCAAAGUCAUGGUUAAGUGGGAAACGAUGUGGGAAGGCCCAGACAGCCAGGAUGUUGGCUUAGAAGCAGCCAUCAUUUAAAGAAAGCGUAAUAGCUCACUGGUCGAGUCGGCCUGCGCGGAAGAUGUAACGGGGCUAAACCAUGCACCGAAGCUGCGGCAGCGACGCUUAUGCGUUGUUGGGUAGGGGAGCGUUCUGUAAGCCUGCGAAGGUGUGCUGUGAGGCAUGCUGGAGGUAUCAGAAGUGCGAAUGCUGACAUAAGUAACGAUAAAGCGGGUGAAAAGCCCGCUCGCCGGAAGACCAAGGGUUCCUGUCCAACGUUAAUCGGGGCAGGGUGAGUCGACCCCUAAGGCGAGGCCGAAAGGCGUAGUCGAUGGGAAACAGGUUAAUAUUCCUGUACUUGGUGUUACUGCGAAGGGGGGACGGAGAAGGCUAUGUUGGCCGGGCGACGGUUGUCCCGGUUUAAGCGUGUAGGCUGGUUUUCCAGGCAAAUCCGGAAAAUCAAGGCUGAGGCGUGAUGACGAGGCACUACGGUGCUGAAGCAACAAAUGCCCUGCUUCCAGGAAAAGCCUCUAAGCAUCAGGUAACAUCAAAUCGUACCCCAAACCGACACAGGUGGUCAGGUAGAGAAUACCAAGGCGCUUGAGAGAACUCGGGUGAAGGAACUAGGCAAAAUGGUGCCGUAACUUCGGGAGAAGGCACGCUGAUAUGUAGGUGAAGUCCCUCGCGGAUGGAGCUGAAAUCAGUCGAAGAUACCAGCUGGCUGCAACUGUUUAUUAAAAACACAGCACUGUGCAAACACGAAAGUGGACGUAUACGGUGUGACGCCUGCCCGGUGC